UGAAAAGCUAAAAGUGAAAAAAAUUAAUGUUGUCAUUUCAGAUACAACCACAAAUAAAAUGGAUACCUUUUCAAUGAAGGUGAAUGUAGGCCAAAAAGUAUUAAUCUCUGUUAUUAAUUAAUUUAAACUUUACUUUCGACGAAGCACUAUCUAUAAUGAAUAGAACAGAAAGUGCUGGUUCAAGUGACACGAACAUGACUGCUGUCAUGUACUCACCAAGCCACCGAAAGAAAAUAGUCAAAUUAAUCUAGAGAUGGCAAAGAAUAACGUUAUGAGUAUAGCUCAAAAAUUAACUUAGCUAUUUAAAAAAAAUAAUAAUAAGUAAGGUUAAGUUCGUUUCAGUCUCGUUGUCGUAAUUUAUCCAUUAUUGCUAUUCAAAAUGACCACAAUUAAACCAUGAUGCACCGCUGUAUUUUUAGUAUUACUUGUACCCCUUAGACAAUACUUCUCAUUCUGUUUCAUCAGUUUUCCGCUAACCCACGAUCCCACUUUCAAGAAAAUGUCGGAUAGAGCUCAAGAGGAGUUUAACAGCUUAAUCACUUGCCUGGUGUGCACCAACACUUUUAACGAGACCGAAAAUUCGCCUCGUACUCUUCCAUGUGGACACAUAUUUUGCCUGAAUUGUCUUGAGAGAAUUUGUAUUAUAAAUCAUCUGGGGGGGAAGGAAUUGAUUUGCCCACUUUGCAAAAAGGAUCAUUCAAUUACUUCUUCUAUAAGAGAAUCUACGUUGGAAUCGUCUCAGACGUUGUACCUUGUGAAAUUGCCAAGGGUGGUGGCACCCACUGCUACAGACACAGCAGUAAAACCAUCAAAUCUUAACAUUGAGCAACCUAUCCUGCGUCCCCCCCCCCGUGGAGGAUAUAACCCCGCUACUAAAUUACCCCACCCGUGACCAAUGUAUGUUAUUGGACGCUGAGCCUAGAGACCAAGCGAUGCCAUCUGUAGGGAGGGCCCACGGUCAUCCCGGUACGUUAAGUGAUUCGUCGAGGCUAUCUCUACGUAGAACACGCGGACGAGGGGAACUAUUUGCGGAACCUACGCCAAGAUAUUCCCCGUAUUCUCGAGUGAAUUUGUCGAGAAGGAUGAAUUCCCCACCAUCGGCCAGAAAAUCGAAGGCAUCUUCUUCAAGCCCGUCUCCACGUGCGGGAUCACCAAAUCCGGGACCGUUUAGACGAUCCCUGUCACCUAGGCCAGGCCCGUCUACCCGAUCGACGUCCCCAAGGCCAGGACCCUCUAGAAGAUCGUGGUCGCCACCAAACUAAAUUAUGGGGGGGGGG